CGUACUCCUUCACUGCCCCACGUCGUCCGCUUCUUCCAGAAGAAAGAGGGAUUGCCCAGCCCUCGUUCCCCAUCUGUCCGUUCCUCUCCCUCUCCCUCGGCCGCCGCCGGCGGUGACCUCCCCCAUGGCUGACGCCCCCACCCCCUUCUCUCUGCCCCUUGCCUUCUCCUCAUCAUCAGCAACCUCCUUCCCUCCUCUCGCCCCAGAUCGAGGACAGGUCUGGAUCCGGCACGCCCACAGCGCUGCUUCGGCUAAAGCAAGGUGCUCUUGCCCUGGUGCUACAGCCAUGGACAAGGUGCCCUCCCAUCUCUUCUCUCUGUAUGUGUUGGAUGGUGGGAAACAAUAACUGCAUCAAGAGCUACCUCGAUGCCAUCCUCGACACCGGCAAUCAGAUCGCGGCGAUCGCCCCUCCCUGCUUCUCCUCAAUCUUGUCCACUUCUCCCUGCUACUCCGUCGAGGAGGUCAUCACUGUCUACGAAGAUACCGACCUCUACAAGUCAUUGCUCCGGGGGGUGAACGUGGUGUACAGGACAACGAACUUGAGGAGCAGCGGGCCAGGAGGUCUGACCCUCCCUACGUCCCCAUGGCCAGUUUUCUUUUGGAGAGUUCCCCUUUAUUCUUGCCGAACUGCGCAUAAAUUUAUUUAUUUGGAUAUGCUCAGUGGUCGUUGACAAGCAGAAAUCUGAGGUUGCGGCAGAAUAUGUUUUGAAAAAUGCAUUAGGCAGAGCCCUCAAAGAUAAGGAGUUAAGGACAAUAAUGCUCAAAGAUUUGUUGUGGGUUCUGCAACCUAUUUGUUUUCUGAUUUUCAAUUAUGAUUUCUGUCGUUUACUUUUAGAAUCAUCCUCAUUCUCUAUCUAAAUAUGUGGUGCCAAUGAAAUUAGAUUUGUUCUCUGGGUGAUUGUGCGGAUGAAUUUGAUGUCGAGAAUGUCCGUUCUGUUGGCGAAAAGGCCCCCGUUAUUGGGAUAUUUCUAAGCACACCGCCAAGGAACUUUGAAGGUCCUUAUUUUAACCAUGAGUUUCAUCAUCUCGAAAUGCAGGAAGUAUAGAUGGCACCUCUAUGGUGCAUGUUUGCCGACUUAAUUCAAGAUAUCCUGCUGGACUAACAUCAUACAUCCAGAAUGCCAAAAGGCUUUUGGCAGAUUCCAAGGAAGAACAAAAUCCAUACGAUUCACGCCUUUGGUUCCCUCGAAUGAAGUAUUGACCUUCGGUGAUGGCAAUUUUGUUUAAGCACACAAUAUUGUGUUUGUUCUUGUAGCUGGUGGGCUUGGCAAAAGAUUUGGUUACAAAGGAAUUAAGGAAGACCUCGACAAAUACUUUCAGCCCCAAGGAAACAAAGGUGACCACCCCGUCAUCCUUGUCUGUUGGCUGGCUCAUUCUUGUCCUCAGCUGGGUGCAGGGGAUUUCACCCUCUUGCCAUGCGUCCGGCCGCGGCAGGAGAAAGUGGGUGGUAGCGAGCUGUGGGAUUGGUCAUUAGUCAGUUUAGUUCACCGCACCAUCCUCAUCCAGGGUUUGGUGCGGGAUCUCGUCGGCUUGGCACCUUCAUUGUUACUCCGGAUCCCCGGUUUGAUGCAGUUUUGGAGCUGGAUGGUUAAUCAGUCUGAUUUGUUCGUAUAGUUCAUGGUACCACAUCUACAAGCUGCAUCUUGUGCAAAUUUGUUGUUGUGUGUGUGUAUAUGGUGCUUGCCUACUUGGUGUUUCACUUACCCCAGUCAGAGUUCUGUUCUUUCUAGAUGAAGCUACAAUAGUUAACCUAUAAGGUGCAGGUUCUAGCCUUCUUGGUUUCUUAUACUGAACAGGACUACUGUUCUUAAUCAUAUGACCCGAUACCCUAUGUGUCCUAAUUAGGCCUUUAGGCACUGUAAUCUGGCUAUUGUUUUCUUUGUAUUAGUAACUGCUCUUGUUGGUUGGCUGUAUAAUUAGGCCUUUAGGAUUGGAAUCUGACUGUUGUUUCCUUUGUAAUAUUGGUAACUACUCUUGUUGGCUUGGCUGUAUAAUUGGAUAAGAACAUAGUAGGAUCUACACUAUUUUUUGUGUUGGUAAAUAGCUAACUUGGUCAUAUACUCAGGAUCGCCGCCUUCUUCCUCCAGGCUGGCAAUCACCUGCAGGUUAACGUGAGGAAGUGACGAGAUACACGAAGGGUUGGAGAAGGACUGCAGGAGGAUGUGAGAACAUGCGUUGUUUCAGAUCCACCCGACUGAUCCCAAGUUUUUGCAAGGUCUGCUUCUUAUGGAAAAACUUCUUUCGAUGAGCCGCCUAUCCAAAUAAUUAAAAUUACUCCUUUUAGUUAGAUUUAGUAUUAGCCAAAUUAUUUGCUUCUGUGAUGACGAACAAACUGAGUAUAGUUUUAUUUUGCUUUAGAUGAGUAUUGUAGAGUAGGAAGACUUGCAAGAAUUUGUAUAAUAGUUUUGAACUCUUCUGAAACUGAAAGGAUCACACAUACUGAAGCAAACAAUUUAUGUAUUAUUAUGUACGAGUUUGGAUUAUUCUGAAGACUUCUUUUA